CCCGGGUCUUGUACACACCGCCCGUCACACCACGAGAGUUGGCAAUACCCGAAGCCGGUGGCCUAACCCGCAAGGGAGGGAGCCGUCGAAGGUAGGGUCAGCGAUUGGGGUG
rnacentral:rRNA from 1 species